GACGAACGCUGGCGGCGUGCUUAACACAUGCAAGUCGAACGCAGUGGCGAACGGGUGAGUACCGCGUAAUCAACCUGCCCUUCAGAGGGGGACAACAGUUGGAAACGACUGCUAAUACCGCAUACUGAAGGAGGGGAUUGCGUCUGGUGAGAUAGUUGGCGGGGUAACGGACCACCAAGGCGAUGAUCAGGAGCCGGGCUGAGAGGAUGAACGGCCACAUUGGGAAUGAGGAACGGCCCAGACUCCGACGGGAGGCAGCAGUGGGGAAUCUUCCGCAAUGGACGGAAGUCUUACGGAGCAACUCCGCGGUAGUGAUGACGGCCUUCGGGUUGUAAAGCUCUGUUAAUCGGGACGCGGUACCGGAAUAGAAAGCCACGGCUAACUACGUGCCAGCAGCCGCGGUAAUAC
rnacentral:rRNA from 1 species